GAUGAACGCUGGCGGCAUGCCUAAUACAUGCAAGUCGAACGGUGUCUUCGGACAUAGUGGCGCACGGGUGCGUAACACGUAUGCAACCUACCUUACAUUGGGGGAUAGCCUUUCGAAAGGGAGAUUAAUACCGCAUAAGACAGUAGCUGGGCAUCCAGCAGCUGUUAAAGAUUUAUCGAUGUAAGCUGGGCAUGCGUCCAAUUAGCUAGUUGGUGAGGUAACGGCUCACCAAGGCAAUGAUUGGUAGGGGAACUGAGAGGUCAAUCCCCCACACUGGCACUGAGAUACGGGCCAGACUCCUACGGGAGGCAGCAGUAGGGAAUAUUGGGCAAUGGACGCAAGUCUGACCCAGCCAUGCCGCGUGCAGGAUGAAGGCGUUAUGCGUUGUAAACUGCUUUUAUACAGGAAGAAACGACUCUUGCGAGAGGCAUUGACGGUACUGUAUGAAUAAGCACCGGCUAACUCCGUGCCAGCCGCCGCCGUAA
rnacentral:rRNA from 1 species